UUUAAUGCUUAUUUAAUGGCAAUUUUUCCAAUUUAUAAUAGAAAUACAGUAAUUAUCUCAAAUGAAUGCUUUUAAAAUUGUUUAUUAAAAAAAUUUCGUACUACGUCCCAUAAUAUUGUUCUGAUAUGAAAAAACCCUAUCGAUUCUUUAUCGAAAUAAAGUACAUUGUACUCCCCUUCAGCAUCCAGUGUUUACUACACUGAGUUAUCAUGUGGAACAUGUGGAAAAUUAAAGAAAAAAUACAUGAAAUUAAGCAGUAUCACAGACUUAUGAUAAUAUCUACAAUGUAUUUUCUACUUUAUAUCUUUAAUAAAAAAUCAAUUAUAGUUCCUACAGUUUUGAACUGACAAGCCAUCGUGUAAUUUGUAAAACGAGGUUCAAGUACGAGUACACGCAUUCGUUUUACUUUAAAAAGCGGCCGCUUUUAAAUGUAUUGUUUGAUUAAUUAAUUAUAAUUAGAUAUAAUAGAUGAGUUUUACUUCGUUUCAUAGGAAAAAUACAAAGAAAAUUACAUGACCCGCUUAUGAAUGCAGGUAAUGCUAUUUUUCUGGAAUGGUAGCUACAUGUACCUUCAUACCCACAUGAAACACAAAAGAAAGCUUUUCUCGUUUUGUUUCCAAGAAUUGGAAAUUCUGUAACAAAAAUACCGUUUAAGGGGUUAAUACGUAAAUUAUUAUGAAAAUGCACAACUUUUUAAAACUUUUCUAAAAUAUUUAAUAUGAUCGCGUCUGUACUAUUGUCGGAUGAUGUAGCGCACCCAUUACAGAGGUCACAUCAAGUUCCAUGGAACGACAAUUGCUUCUUCCAUUGUAUUACACAAUAACCAUCUUUUCAGCAGAUAAAUUAUCCCCAUUCUUUUGUCAUAUCCUAUCAUUUAGACCUUUAUUUUAGAAGGCAAUCGACAGAAAUCAAAAUCGAUAAAUAUAUAGUUCAGAAUUUAAAAACAUCAAAGACAUAAAACAAAAUUACCAAAAUAUCCAUUUUUAUAAUAGUUUGUCGUAAUUAGUCUGAGUUAUUUUUUGUUUCUUAGUGUUUCUUUUCUAUCAAGCAUUGACGCACUUUCUCAUUGCUGGAAACUUGGGUUUCUUGAGGCUAGAUAUUAUGCAAAUCUUCCUAACCUAAACCAAAACGGCAAAACGCUCAAUAAUGCAGUGCACUCUGAUGUUGAAAUAAAUGUGACAUAGAU
rnacentral:sRNA from 1 species